rnacentral:lncRNA from 1 species
CUUUUCUCAUUCGUCCCCUUAUUAUUAUUAUUCAAAAUUUUUAAAUUUAUCUUUAAAUUACUAAAAUAUUUUUUAAAAUUUCAAAUCCCAUUAAUAAACCUUAAGGAUUUGGGGAUAUUUGAAGGAAUUUUUGAAAAUCAAUAAAGAUAUUUUGGUCAACCAAGAGUUAUUAAAUAUUUUGAAAGUUUUGAAGGAUAUUUUAGAUAUUAAGCUAAUUGAAUUUCUCUUGUGACGAAAAAAGGAGCUUUUUAUAUAUCUUGGAGGGCUUUUUAUAUAUCUUGGAGGGAAGAUUUUCCGACGGCAUAGCAUGGCGCAGCACGACGCAGUAAGAUUCUUUCUGAUACGGAAAACAUGUUUGGUUGCUGAAGUGACAAUUUUUUGUCUCAGUCAAAGGAAUUUCUUCUGUGAACAUGAGCGAUUUACUG